AUANUGGACAAUGGGCGGAAGCCUGAUCCAGNCAUGCCGCGUGUGUGAAGAAGGCCUUUUGGUUGUAAAGCACUUUAAGCGAGGAGGAGGCUACUAGUACUAAUACUACUGGAUAGUGGACGUUACUCGCAGAAUAAGCACCGGCUAACUCUGUGUCAGCAGCCGCGGUAAUACAGAGGGUGCGAGCGUUAAUCGGAUUUACUGGGCGUAAAGCGUGCGUAGGCGGCUUUUUAAGUCGGAUGUGAAAUCCCCGAGCUUAACUUGGGAAUUGCAUUCGAUACUGGGAAGCUAGAGUAUGGGAGAGGAUGGUAGAAUUCCAGGUGUAGCGGUGAAAUGCGUAGAGAUCUGGAGGAAUACCAAUGGCGAAGGCAGCCAUCUGGCCUAAUACUGACGCUGAGGUACGAAAGCAUGGGGAGCAAACAGG
rnacentral:rRNA from 1 species